UGAAGAACAGAGAUAAAAUUUUACUCUCGGAGGACUCCUUUUCAGGAACAGAUACAGAAGUUGUUCCUAUACUUAAUUCUGAUGAAGAGGAUGAAGAGACAGACGAGGAAAAAGAAAUAAAACAUUUUGAAAUAGAGGAGAAAGAUAAGAAUAGAAAUUAUAGUAAUUGGGGAAAAAAGAAUUCCUACUAUAACACAGACGUGGAAGAGGUGGAAUAUGGUAGUGAAGAGGAUGCUCAAGAUGAGGAAAAAGAAGCGUUAAAGUUACAAAAAGAACAUUUAAAAGAUCUUGAGGAAUCUGAUUUCUACAGUUUAGAAAAUUGGAGACCUUUAAGCGAUUCUAAGUUGGCCACAGCAAACGGGGAAGUUUAUUUGCCUGACUCUGAUUCUGAACUUGAAAACAAUAAACAGAUUAUAAUUUCUAAAAAUUUAAAU